rnacentral:snoRNA from 1 species
ACCCUCCAAACCCCUUAGCCGGUGGACAUAAACAUCGGUCUGAGUAGUUGUAAAAGGAGGAAACGCAACAUUGAACUGGACUUGGGGUCUUUAGUGACAGACAAGCUUAUUCAAACAUAU